rnacentral:rRNA from 1 species
CUUUCUUUGCUGGCGACCGGCGCACGGGUGAGUAACACGUAUCCAACCUGCCCUUUACUCGGGGAUAGCCUUUCGAAAGAAAGAUUAAUACCCGAUAGCAUAAUGAUUCCGCAUGGUUUCAUUAUUAAAGGAUUCCGGUAAAGGAUGGGGAUGCGUUCCAUUAGGUUGUUGGUGGGGUAACGGCCCACCAAGCUUUCGAUGGAUAGGGGUUCUGAGAGGAAGGUCCCCCACAUUGGAACUGAGACACGGUCCAA